rnacentral:lncRNA from 1 species
UCAAGUUUUAUUUCUUUUUAUGUUUAGUUAAUUUUUUAUAUUAUUGCUAUUUUUGUUUGCUUUAAUGUUCAAGUUUUUAUUUCUUUUUCUUUUUAUUUUUCUUUUUAGUUAAUUUUUGGUAUUACUGCUAUUUUUAAGAUAUAUUUUUCUAUUGAAUUUAGUUUUGACAAUAUUUAGUUGUGACUUCCAACUAGAUUUAUUAUUUUUUGAUUAUUUUAUUUUUGAUGUUACUACAUUUGAAUGUUAUGAUAUCACUAUUAUUGGUAAAUAAAUGUAGAAAUUUGAAGAAAAAUAAUAAAUAAGAAAAGAAGGUACUUACAAAAAAAAUUAAGAAAAAUUUAAUUUAAAAUAUGAAUGUAAAAUGUCACAUGUAUAUGCUCUUUUGGUCUACUUCUUAACUCCUAU